rnacentral:rRNA from 1 species
UACGAAGGGGGCUAGCGUUGUUCGGAAUUACUGGGCGUAAAGCGCACGUAGGCGGGUUGUUAAGUCAGGGGUGAAAUCCUGGAGCUCAACUCCAGAACUGCCUUUGAUACUGGCAACCUAGAGACUGGAAGAGGUUAGUGGAAUUCCCAGUGUAGAGGUGAAAUUCGUAGAUAUUGGGAAGAACACCAGUGGCGAAGGCGGCUAACUGGUCGAGCACUGACGCUGAGGUGCGAAAGCGUGGGGAGCAAACAGG